rnacentral:rRNA from 1 species
GACGAACGCUGGCGGCGUGCUUAACACAUGCAAGUCGAACGGAAAGGCCCUGCUUUUGUGGGGUGCUCGAGUGGCGAACGGGUGAGUAACACGUGAGUAACCUGCCCUUGGCUUUGGGAUAACUUCAGGAAACUGGGGCUAAUACCGGAUAGGAGCUCCUGCUGCAUGGUGGGGGUUGGAAAGUUUCGGCGGUUGGGGAUGGACUCGCGGCUUAUCAGCUUGUUGGUGGGGUAGUGGCUUACCAAGGCUUUGACGGGUAGCCGGCCUGAGAGGGUGACCGGCCACAUUGGGACUGAGAUACGGCCCAGACUCCUACGGGAGGCAGCAGUGGGGAAUAUUGCACAAUGGGCGGAAGCCGGAUGCAGCAACGCCGCGUGCGGGAUGACGGCCUUCGGGUUGUAAACCGCUUUCGCCUGUGACGAAGCGUGAGUGACGGUAAUGGUAAAGAAGCACCGGCUAACUACGUG